rnacentral:tRNA from 1 species
GAGGGUAUAGCUCAGUGGUAGUAGAGUGCAUGCCUAACAUGCAUGAGGCCCUGGGUUCAAUCCCUAGUACCUCCA